rfam:Gossypium arboreum cultivar AKA8401 contig_29729_3, whole genome shotgun sequence.
AAUAGUUUAAUGCCACAUCAACAUUUUCAUCUUGAAUUUCAAGAUUUUCAUCGUGAAAAAAAAUCAAAUCUAAAUGAAAAUCUUGAAACUCAGGAUAAAAUUAUUGAUGUGGUAUUAAAUUAGU